UACGUAGGGGGCAAGCGUUGUCCGGAUUUAUUGGGCGUAAAGAGCGUGUAGGCGGCCUUACAGGUCAGCUGUGAAAACUCGAGGCUCAACCUCGAGACGUCGGUUGAAACCGUAUGGCUAGAGUCCGGAAGAGGAGAGUGGAAUUCCCGGUGUAGCGGUGAAAUGCGCAGAUAUCGGGAAGAACACCCGUGGCGAAGGCGGCUCUCUGGGACGGUACUGACGCUAAGGCGCGAAAGCGUGGGGAGCGAACAGG
rnacentral:rRNA from 1 species